AGUGGUCCAGGCAGCUGCAGAGGCUGCUGGGUCUCUCUCACUGCUCGGGAACAAGGUGAAGUCAAAUGGAAAAGCUCUGAAGGAGAGGAGCAGGACAGCUUGGUGCACCAGUGGAGUGCAGGAAGGCUGAGAAGUAACCCAAGAUUUGCUAAAUAUGGUGGUAGGGGCCUUGAGGAGGCAAGACAUCUCUGCAAGAAGAGGACCUAGCCUCUUUCCUGGGAAGAGACGAGAGGCCACCUGCCUGGUGUGUUUGCUAACACGCAGGAGCUGUGGCCUGUAAUCAUCAUUAGCUCUCUUUGGUGUUUACUAACUGUUAUUAAUUAGAAUGAGCAAACUUGGCAUUAAUGUGCCUGCCAUAAGGAUGAAGGUUCUUACUGCACAACCAUCCUGCAUAAGCGGCUAGACUGGGACUCGUUUACCAACUGUUACCAGGAUGAUGCAGGGCUACGGGCACCAGCUGAUGAAGGACUGGGCAAGGGAGAGCGCUCGAACCUGUGCUUCUCUGAAAGUUCAGAAUUAGGGGAAGCUGUGCUGGAGUAGAGGGAAGCAGAGCCUCUCCCCAGCUCAUGUGGGAGCUGCUAGCAGGCUUUGGGCAGCCUCCAAAAGUAGCCCAGGCAAACCCCCAAGGUCUUUGAUCACCAGACAGCUUUCCUCUGGUGCUGGUUGUAGCAACUUUCUCCCUAAUCAGAAAAUCACUGAACACAACUUCCUUUACAAGACAGUGGAUCAGUGUCCUGUUGCCCUUCAGGAGAGACCCUGCUCUUCUGUGGGUCUUGGGAAAGAGGUUAGGGAUAUGUACCGUUGCCAAGAAAGGGAAGACAUUAUCUGGUGUUCUGAUCUAUCAGUCUGUUCUCUUGUUUCUCUGGAAGUGAUGCUAUCCCUGCGUAUUUCCUGUCUAAAAGAGUAGCCUUCAGAGAGGAGACUGCCACUUUAUGGGAAGUUUUGAAAACAGGGGAGGUAAUGGAACAUGUUAGCUAGAAAAGAAGAUUGAUUUCUUCCUGCAUGGUUACAUGGUCUUGAUGUAGAGAGGAGUCUCUGGAGAAAAUGGCAGCGUUUCAACUGGCUCACAAGUAGGACACACAAGAGACUUAAGGUAGGAGAUACGUUCACUCUGCUAAGAGAAGUCACGUGUUCAUCCUCAGCUCCCUGGGAGGCAGCGUAACUGGCAACCAUGUGGGCAAGGAAGGCGUCCAGAGGAAGGGGCACCAGGGACAUGUUCUCCAGGCUAUGGGCCUCGUAUUUUGGAUUGUUUUGGGAAUCACUGUGCUUACAUCCCUAGAGGAUCUGGGUGUAGGUCAGACAUACUACAGGGCUCAAGCCUAAGCAACCAGGGAAAUUAGCACCGACUCUCACGUGGGACAAAGACUUGACAAAGAGCCAGGCUGCACACCUCCUCACCCAGAGGCUCUUUCUUCCUUCCCUCCCUCCCUGGUUUUCAGGAAAUCCUGCAUUGAUAUAGACAAUGGUGUGCUCUGAAUGUCUCUGCUACCUGGAGACACUUAGGCUCUUGAACUAACUCACUAGUGGAAGUAGGGGGGAUUGUGAGAAGUAGAGGGAGCUGAUAAAUGUGGGUGCUAAAAUAGGGGGUACAUUUGGGUCAGCUGGGAAUUUGAGGAAAGGAUAGGUUAGGGUUCUGUGUCACCAAAGGCAGCAUAAGGUUUCACAGAAGUUCAUAGAAGAAAACCUCAAGAUGUCGCCACAUUUCUGAGAUGUCAGCAGCUAAGAGAAGAAAAGAUUGCUUAGUUACAGAAGUUUUACCCAUGGGAGCGUCUGGAAAAUGGCACUUAACAUUGUCACUGUCUUCAUGUAUCAAGCACCUAGAAGUUCACAGUGCAGUUCUGAAGACAUGCUCAUUUCUCUCUUCUUGUCUCUUCAGGUGCUACAUGGUGUGUUGGAAGGCUAGUGACCUGUUAGGCACUUGGAAAAAUUUAUGCAGCUUCAAGGCUCAUCUCAAAAGCUAACUCUGAGGCCUUCUUGACCUUCCGAGCUGUGCCGGGUCUCUCCAUCCCCUGUGGGCUCAUUAGAACUUGGAUAUUCCUUUAAUGCAAACAACACAUGGAAAUAGAAUGGACAAUCAUUCCCAUUUAGUUGUCAGCUGUUCAAGGUCAAUACUUAUGCUCUGUUGAUCUCUCUAACCCUCUAGAUCUGGUGCCUGGCAUGCUGUAGCUA
ensembl:lncRNA novel transcript